GACGAACGCUGGCGGCGUGCCUAAUACAUGCAAGUAGAACGCACAGUUUAUACCGUAGCUUGCUACACCAUAGACUGUGAGUUGCGAACGGGUGAGUAACGCGUAGGUAACCUGCCUGGUAGCGGGGGAUAACUAUUGGAAACGAUAGCUAAUACCGCAUAAUAUUGAUUAUUGCAUGAUAAUUGAUUGAAAGAUGCUAUUGCAUCACUACCAGAUGGACCUGCGUUGUAUUAGCUAGUAGGUGAGGUAACGGCUCACCUAGGCGGCGAUACAUAGCCGACCUGAGAGGGUGAUCGGCCACACUGGGACUGAGACACGGCCCAGACUCCUACGGGAGGCAGCAGUAGGGAAUCUUCGGCAAUGGACGAAAGUCUGACCGAGCAACGCCGCGUGAGUGAAGAAGGUUUUCGGAUCGUAAAGCUCUGUUGUAAGAGAAGAACGGGUGUGAGAGUGGAAAGUUCACACUGUGACGGUAUCUUACCAGAAAGGGACGGCUAACUACGUG
rnacentral:rRNA from 1 species